UACGGAGGAGGCAAGCGUUAUCCGGAAUUAUUGGGCGUAAAGCGUCCGUAGAUGGUCGCUUCACGUCUGCUGUCAAAGACCGGGGCUUAACCCCAGAAAAGCAGUGGAAACUGAACAGCUAGAGUAUGGUAGGGGCAGAGGGAAUUCCUGGUGUAGCGGUGAAAUGCGUAGAGAUCAGGAAGAACAUCGGUGGCGAAGGCGCUCUGCUGGACCAUAACUGACACUCAGGGACGAAAGCUAGGGGAGCGAAUGGG
rnacentral:rRNA from 1 species